rnacentral:rRNA from 1 species
UAGGGAAUCUUCCGCAAUGGGCGAAAGCCUGACGGAGCAACGCCGCGUGAGUGAUGAAGGUCUUCGGAUCGUAAAACUCUGUUAUUAGGGAAGAACAAAUGUGUAAGUAACUAUGCACGUCUUGACGGUACCUAAUCAGAAAGCCACGGCUAACUACGUGCCAGCAGCCGCGGUAAUACGUAGGUGGCAAGCGUUAUCCGGAAUUAUUGGGCGUAAAGCGCGCGUAGGCGGUUUUUUAAGUCUGAUGUGAAAGCCCACGGCUCAACCGUGGAGGGUCAUUGGAAACUGGAAAACUUGAGUGCAGAAGAGGAAAGUGGAAUUCCAUGUGUAGCGGUGAAAUGCGCAGAGAUAUGGAGGGACACCAGUGGCGAAGGCGACUUUCUGGUCUGUAACUGACGCUGAUGUGCGAAAGCGUGGGGAUCAAACAGG